GAAGGUGAGGACGAUCUGACUGCCACAUCUGCCACCCCACUGAUUGCCAAGGUUGAUUUGCUUGAUCUGACCAGAUAGGUCGGUGUCUCCUUCCUCUGUCACCUGAGCCCCACGUGUGUACCUGGAGUCCCUCCUAGAGGUGAACACUCCCUAGGUUGCAGAGGAUGACCACUCCCACAUAGGAGGACCCUUUCCUUGAGCAAGGGUUUACAAGUAGCUAGGCUCCCCUGUCGGACUUCCAAACAAGCUCUCAAGCAAGUGACCCACAGAGCUAUUUCCUUUCCCUUUUUCAGAGGUGAGAAGG
rnacentral:snRNA from 1 species